UAUUUUCUCUAAUUUCGUUGCAACAUUUGCAACCAGGGUAAAACAACCCUGCUCCGAAAGCUUUUUUGCACGCGGGGCAGGUUGGGGUUCUGAACCUGAACGGCGCCUGACCGACGAGGCAUCUUUCGUCGANNNNUAAUGCGCUGACUUGAAACUAUUAUGGAACUCCCCCUGUGAGUCCGCCGGAUCCAAACGGACACCGGCAAACCUAUCAUUCUAGGGGAUCCUUUGGUUCUGACAU
rnacentral:misc_RNA from 1 species